UCAUUCAAAUGCGACGUCCCAGGAUAAGUCGCCGACCCAUUCAUUUAUUAAUGCGCAAGCGGAACGUAUUAUAAAACCCCUGACAAUGAAAUACGGGAUAGAAAAGCAGGAAACAAUUUCACAACCAAUCACUUACACAAACCAACGGAGUUACAGACGAAGGCCUACAGCCAGAGGUCUACAAAAGACCGACUCUUAAAAAUGAACUGUCCUACAACCUACAAGUCGGACACGCUCUCCAAUCCUUAUGACUUCACCUCUGCAAUUCCUCAAGGCGAACCAAAGCUAUCUGGCCGCUCCGUCCACCAGGGACCUGAAAUGGUUAUUCAAUAACCACUGAGACAACGUCUCAGCAAGUUCAACCCCCUAAACCCCUAUUAGAAAGAAAAUACGCCCAAUGGUGGCCUAACCACAUCACACAGAGAACUUACCUCGCCUCAAUUCCUUCCUGCAGGUUAGCACAAUUUGUAUCACACAAUCUCAGGUAGUAAUAAUAAUUCAAACAAUUGGAACACCAUCACUUUCAUAUAAAUCACGAUCGCACUUAGCACGCAUUCCAAUUAUUAUUCACUGCCACACAAGGGCAUAGCCUACUCGCAGGUCGGCUAUCUACUAACAUUACAGCAUUUCUAGAAGAAUAAAGGUCCAGUCGGUCCCGCCACUACUGCGACCAAGCCACGUCGUUUUAUCGACAGCAUUUCUAGAAAAAUAAAGGUCCAGUCGGUCCCGCCGCUACUACGACCAAGCCACGUCGUUCUAUCGACAGCAUUUCUAGAAAAAUAAAGGUCCAGUCAGUCUUGCCACUACUGCGACCAAGUCACGUCAUUCUAUCGACGGCAUUUCUAGAAAAAUAAAGGUCCAGUCAAUCUCGCCACUACUGCGACCAAGCCAUGUCGUUCUAUCGACAGCAUUUCUAGAAAAAUAAAGGUCCAGUCGGUCUUGCCACUAAUGCAACCAAGCCACGUCAUUCUAUCGACGGCAUUUCUAGAAAAAUAAAGGUCCAGUCGGUCUCGCUACUACUGCGACCAAGCCACGUCGUUCUAUUGAUAGCAUUUCUACAAAAAUAAAGGUCCAGUCGGUCUCGCCACUACUGCAACCAAGCCACGUCGUUCUAUCGACAGCAUUUCUAGAAAAAUAAAGGUCCAGUCGAUCCCGCCACUACUGCGACCAAGCCACGUCAUUCUCUUGACAGCAUUCUAAAAGAAUAAGAAUUCAUAUUUAUCACAAGUCAACUGCGACCCGAGCCUUUCAAUCACCAAAUUCAAAUUCUAAAUACACAGCAGCGAUCGGCACGAAAUUCUGAGAGUUUAGGGUCCCGACGAAAUUUUUGAAUUUUAAUAAAUAAUUAAAUUUAUUCCGAAAAUUAAGUAAAUAAUAAUAUUCAUAUUUUUCAUCAUCCACGCUCAAUUUAUAAUAUCCAACCAUCAUUUCAAAAUCCGAACACACAGCAGCGAUCGGCACGAAAUUUCGGGAAUUUAGGGUCCCGACAAAAUUUUCGGAAUUUAAUAAAUAAUUAAAUUUAUUCCGAAAAUAAUUAAAUAAUCAUAUUUUAAUAAUUUCGAAUAAUGAUAUAUUAUUAAAUUAUUAAAUAAUUUCGAAAUGUUUAAAUAAAUCAAAAGUAAAUUCAUUUAUGUCACAUCAAGGCUUAUAUUAAUAUAAACCUUCAUUUAGCCUUAAAUUAAACUCACUUUAAGCUAAUUAAACACAUUAAUAUAAUCCACACUUAAAUAAAUUAAACUAACCACCUAAUCACAAUUAACAUAAACUAAGCACACCUAAAGCAUAAUUAACCCUCUAAGCGAGAUUUAGUGAGUUAAACUCACCGGAUUAGCGAGCCGAGCGGAUCAAAACGACGGGGACGCCGAGGAGAACAACUUUCCUCAAAGCGGGCCGAGCAUCCGAGCUCGGGAAGGCAGCCAAAACGGGCCAAACGUCCGCUGCAUACCCAUUUUUUUUUCCAGCUGCUGUCCAUUGCGAUUUGAGGCCAAGGAAGGGUAGAUCCGGAGCUUGGAUGAGAUGGGGAAGGAUCGGGGAAGGUUGAGGGGUCGAACCGGACCAAGGAGGGACCCGAACGGUGGCCGGAGGUGGCCGAACGGCUCCGGCACGGGUUGAUACAGCAGCUGCGACGCAAGGGCAGGCGAGUGGGAGGUGGAGACGGUGCGACGGCGGGCCGGCGAGCACGCUCGGCGGUGCGGGACGGACGCACGGCGGCGGCGGUGACGACGACGUGCGAGCGGGUGGCCGGCCAUGGCUGCUCCUUCUUCUUCUCUGUAAAUUUUUCUGGUCCUUCGCACAAAGAAGAUGGAGGAGACGCACGGAAGAGAGAGGAAGAAGAGAGGGAGGAGAGAGAAGAAGGGGGGGCUUUUUUUCUUUUCUUUUUCUCUUUCUUUUAUUCAACAAAAAUGGCCCACCAUGACCUAGGAUGACAUCACACUCCACUAACUCUCACAACCUCUUCCAAUGGGUGCAAUUCUAUUUUCCGCCAGGGCCUAAAACUUGUGCAACAAUAUCUUCAAUUCCACUUAAUUCUCUUCUAAUUAAAUCUUAAUCCCACUUGAAUUAAAUCAAAUUGACCCCAAUUAAUUCAUUCAACAUCUCAUCAAUCAAAUUGGUAUUUUUCCUUACCACUGUGGCGUACUUGCAUCCCAAUUUCACAAUCUCUGGCUUCAAUCGAACAAAGACGACCCUAUUUAUCCAGUCGAAAUUAAAACCCGAAAAUCCGGAUGUCACAACUCUUCCCCUCUUAUAAAAAUUUCGUCCUCGAAAUUUAAACCUUUACUAAUUCUUAACAAGGAGGUGAGGGUACAGUCGUCUCAUGUCCUCUUCUCUUUCUCAGGUUGCUUUUUUCUGCACUAAUGUUGCCAGAUCACUACUAUCUUGCCCAAACCACUUCAGAUCCAAAAUACUAAACACUUGCCCACUUAAAAUUCUAAAGGUCUUCAACACAAAAUCUGCAAAGCUAAACUGACGAUUCUGAGCGGUCUCAAGAUUGUCCCUGCUAACUGCGAUUGAAUCACUGAUUUCUGAACCAACUUUAGACCUGCGAUUUUCUGAUCUCUGAUCUCAUCUCAACAACUGAAGUUCUGAACACUCUGCUUUGCACUGAUUAAAAGAAACUAUCUGACUAAUCUGCUGAAACUGGGAACCUCUGGUCAAGAUCUGAUAUAACUCUGGCACUGAUCUUAGCAACUGCAAUCACUGACUACUAUACAGACCUUGGCAUGUGAUCUUUCUUUCCUUGACUACAUCUCUGCAAUUGAAAUUCUACACUUUCUGCUAUGCAUUGAUUAAGGAAGAACCUUCUGAAAAUUCUACCAAACUUAUAAUCUAUGAUAUGGAUCCGAAAUAUAAUUCAUCCCCGGCACUCCAUGUUGGUGAAUUAUCUAAUGCUCGCACACUUCAGUAUAUCCACUUUGUGACAAGACAGAAUCCUCAAUUUCUGAAAUCAAAUUUAGAUUGGCGGUUAAUUUCACUCCGACACGCUUUUAGUGUGACCUAGGCUAUUAGGUAGUGUUCAGAGCUUUUUAGGACAAAUGACUUGUGGUCGAUUUUCUUCGAACCACGAUGAACCCACUCGACACAUUGGCGACUCUCAAUUGUCGUGAAAAUCUCAAAGAUUCAAAUACGGACACAGGGUACCAAACCGACAGUAAAGUCAAAUUAGUGCCAGUCGACGAGAGUUUUCCAAUUUAGUGGGGUCACCCACGAUCGGUCAUUCAUCUCAGUUGAACCGACCUAUCUCUGACCUUAAUUAGAUUUUUAACUGUGCCGUAAUGAUCUCUAAAGAUGAGCACGGUUAAGAAGUCGAUUCCUGGUCGAAUUCUCAAGUCUAUUUGCCUUAAAGUCCUUAAUAACUCACCCAACUAGUCUAGUUAUCUCGUAAGUGGCCAACUCAGAGAAAAACACUGUAAUCACGUCGAUGAAAUGCCCAAUUUAACCAAUCGAAAUCAGAGUUUGAAAAUUAGGAUGUCACACGCUCAAAACAAGAUUUAUUCAUACUGUACCAAAGUGGACCAACUCCAUCUAUCGAUCGACUACUAUCCUCAAAUGGUAUCAGUAAUCUCCUGAAUCCUUAGUAAGCUCGUCACAAUGUUCCAUUGUGAUAUAUUUUCAUUCUCACUUAGGACUCUCAAGUGAUGGUAAAAGUCAUCCUGGUUUACAUCACUGAACUUCCACUUACUGACAUCGCUGCUACUUGCAACUUGUUCAACGAUAUCUAUCUUCAUACCGAUCUACCAAUCUCGAUGAUGUAGAUUCUGACUCAUCUUCGUACUGUCUGGACAAUGCUGAAGUUACUAUGAUGAGCUUCCCAUAAGAUUUCUUCUUUAAUCUCUGUAUCGUCACUUACACACAAUCGUCCUCAGAACCUUAGCAUCCUAUCCUUAGAAAUUUGAAAAUCAACAUCUCUCUCAUCUGCAUUCUCUUAUAGAAUCUUUUGAAUUUCUGAAUAUGUCCAUUGAAGCAUCUUGAUUCUGAUCUAACUCUCGGCUCAAUUUUGAGAGUGGUCAUAAGAUUCAAAAUGUGGCAUUCCUUAGAUUUGAAAACCGAAUUUCGGACUUCCUCAAGUAAGAUCCAAUCCUUGAGUGCCAACUGUACAAUUAAGGAUUCUCGACUCAGUGCAUCCGUGACUUUGCUCACCUUUCUAGAGUGAUAUAAAAUAUUCUAGUCAUAAUCAUUAAUGAGUUCCGUCCAGCGACGCUGUCUCAUAUUCAACUCCCGAGGUCUCAACUGACGAGACACAUACGCAACACGAGUCAUCCAAAACUCGCAUCUGCUAAGCUUAUUGUAAAAUCCAAGAGUACUCAAGGUCUGAAGUACCAUCCUCAAAUGUCUCUUGUGCCCCUCAGCACUCUUCGAACACACCAGGAUAACUUCAAUGAACACGAUCACAACUGAUUCAAGUACCCUUAAACAUUCCGCUCAUUAGACCCAAACAAACAGCUAAGUUGUCCAUCAAACCACACGGUAUUACAGUGAACUCACAACUGCUGUAUCAAGUGCGAGAUGCUAACUUCGGUAUGUCUUUCUUCCUAAUCCUCAAUUGAUGAUACUCUCACCUCAAGUUGAUCUUGGAGAAUAUCGACAUACAAAUACAACGAAUCAACUUUAUUCUUCACGAAUAGGACAGGUGCUCCCCAAGGUGAUACACUGGAACGUGUGAAUCCCCUAUUCAACAAUUCCUGCAUCUGCACCUUCAGUUCCUUUAACUCAGGUAACACCAUCCGGUAAGGAGCCUUAAGGACUGGCUCUGCUCCGGAUGCUAAUUUAAUCACGAACUCUAUUUCUCUUUCUGAUAGCAAACUUAACAAUUCUUUAGAAAAUACCUUAGAAAACUUAUGUACCACAAUUAUAUUCUCCAUAUUCGGCUCCUCAACUGACGCAUCCAUUACAGCUGCCAUGUAGAUUCGAUAACCAACAACCUGAACCAAGUCAUCUUCAGUGACGAAUAACAAGGAUUGAAGUUCCUCUUCAACUUUCAAUAAUUCAAAACUUUCAUACGCUAACUGGACAAACUGAAUUACAACACUGCCACGAUUCACAACAGCAGAAAGCUCCUCGAGCCAAACCUUUUCAUAAAUGACUUCCGAGUCAUACAUAAACAAACCCAUCAGGUACAACUAUAGUCAGAGACUCAUUUUCAGGUUACUUUAUUACCACAACGAAAACCCUACAACCUUCACUGAAAAUUCUGCUACAUUACUCUGCAUAAAACAUCUCAUAAACAUUAUUCUUCUGAUUGAUGCAUGGUCGAUCCAUUCAUGCUUCUCUAGCCAUCCUAGUGGCGUCCUCUAUGCAGUAACAGUGCUUACGCUCUCCUGAACUUACACGGACAGUUCCUAACUCGAUGGCCGUGUUGGCCAUAUUCAAAUCAUGCUCCCUUCUUACUCUGACACUAGGCUAACUCAUGCCUCCUUUCCACAAACUCGGCAUACAAUCGGUGAGUCCUUUACCUCCCAUCAAGGAACAUCAUGCACCCUUCCUUGCAUUGAGAUCCGUUCCAAGUACCCUAUUGAACAUCCUAAAGCAUGUUUCCUCUUUUCUAUCUUAUCAACGACAGUGAUAGAAACAUCUGUGACUCCAUCUGCCUAUACGGGAAAUCUUUGAUUAAAUGACCUUAUAGGAAACACCUGUAACAAGUCAUUUCUCUCUUACAGCAUAUAACAAAUCCCCGUCUUUUCUUACAGAUACAACACACAUCGAUCGAGCUAAGUACUGACUUUCAAAUUUUACUCUUCUGGUUGAGUGAAGCAGGGCACUUUUCUUCUGAUAUCAGCAUUUCCUCCAAUCGAUUUCCGUCUCUGUCUAAAUUGAACCUUGACUCAGAUACAGAGUCUUGAUCCUUGAUCACAACUCCAGAUUGGGCCUCAACAGGCACAACAAUUAAACGGUCACAACACUGGCAGCGGUUAAAACAACGGCAACAGCAACGGCUCGGUCCUGAACUUACUUACCCAACAAGCUUCCAAGGAACACUAGCGCCUGAACGAUCCCAACAAACCUAAGAUCCUUCGAUGCUGCUACACUCUAAGUACCGACUUGCAGUGGUACUCUCACACUCGCGCUGGUCUAAGCCUGCGCUCUACCUCGGGUACCGACUCUUGCCAGCAUCCUACCCCGAGGUAUAGGUCCUACCGACCUUCACCAAGGAGUCCUCCACUCCUGGUCACACAUCCUACAGGCUCUUUAUAGACACCUGUUUUCCGAUUCCAACAUCAUAUUAAAAUUUGAGUGACCCCACAAACACACUACCAAACAGCUAUCAACCACAUGCAUCAGCAUAUUAAAAUCUUUUCCCACUAACUAUCCCAUGACUCAUCGCACCUUAUCACUCUAUACACAGACCAUGCUCUGAUACCACUUAAACGGGGAUGUCACGCCCCGAACCUCGAGCGUGUCAACAUCCCACCAUGGUCAUUCAAAUGCGACGUCCCAGGAUAAGUCGCCGACCCAUUCAUUUAUUAAUGCGCAAGCGGAACGUAUUAUAAAACCCCUGACAAUGAAAUACGGGAUAGAAAAGCAGGAAACAAUUUCACAACCAAUCACUUACACAAACCAACGGAGUUACAGACGAAGGCCUACAGCUAGAGGUCUACAAAAGACCGACUCUUAAAAAUGAACUGUCCUACGACCUACAAGUCGGACACGCUCUCCAAUCCUUAUGACUUCACCUCUGCAAUUCCUCAAGGCGAACCAAAGCUAUCUGGCCGCUCCGUCUACCAGGGACCUGAAAUGGUUAUUCAAUAACCACUGAGACAACGUCUUAGCAAGUUCAACCCCCUAAACCCCUAUUAGAAAGAAAAUACGCCCAAUGGUGGCCUAACCACAUCACACAGAGAACUUACCUCGCCUCAAUUCCUUCCUGCAGGUUAGCACAAUUUGUAUCACACAAUCUCAGGUAGUAAUAAUAAUUCAAACAAUUGGAACACCAUCACUUUCAUAUAAAUCACGAUCGCACUUAGCACGCAUUCCAAUUAUUAUUCACUGCCACACAAGGGCAUAGCCUACUCACAGGUCGGCUAUCUACUAACAUUACGGCAUUUCUAGAAGAAUAAAGGUCCAGUCGGUCCCGCCACUACUGCGACCAAGCCACGUCGUUCUAUUGACAGCAUUUCUAGAAAAAUAAAGGUCCAGUCGGUCCCGCCGCUACUAUGACCAAGCCACGUCGUUCUAUCGACAGCAUUUCUAGAAAAAUAAAGGUCCAGUCAGUAUUGCCACUACUGCGACCAAGCCACGUCAUUCUAUCGACGGCAUUUCUAGAAAAAUAAAGGUCCAGUCGAUCUCGCCACUACUGCGACCAAGCCACGUCGUUCUAUCGACAGCAUUUCUAGAAAAAUAAAGGUCCAGUCGGUCUUGCCACUAAUGCAACCAAGCCACGUCAUUCUAUCGACGGCAUUUCUAGAAAAAUAAAGGUCCAGUCGGUCUCGCCACUACUGCGACCAAGCCACAUCGUUCUAUCGACAGCAUUUCUACAAAAAUAAAGGUCCAGUCGAUCUCGCCACUACUGCGACCAAGCCACGUCGUUCUAUCGACAGCAUUUCUAGAAAAAUAAAGGUCCAGUCGAUCCCGCCACUACUGCGACCAAGCCACGUCAUUCUCUUGACGGCAUUCUAAAAGAAUAAGGAUCCAGUCGGCGUAGCCACUACUGCGACCCGAGCCUUUCAACUAGCACACGACAAUUCGAUACCAAUCCUUGGAUACUUUACAUUUCACUCACAUAAUCCAAUUAUGAUAUUAGCCAUUAACAAUCCAAUUUCAAUGCCGAACUCGACACUUGGGAUUUUAUGAACAAAAUUCAUAUCCAGUCGGCGUAGCCACUACUGCGACCCGAGCCUUUCAACUAGCACACGACAAUUCGAUACCAAUCCUUGGAUACUUUACAUUUCACUCACAUAAUCCAAUUAUGAUAUUAGCCAUUAACAAUCCAAUUUCAAUGCCGAACUCGACACUUGGGAUUUUAUGAACAAAAUUCAUAUUUAUCACAAUCAAUACUCAAUUUGCCACAAUCAAUCAUCAAAUUCAAAUUCUAAAUACACAGCAGCGAUUGGCACGAAAUUCUGAGAGUUUAGGGUCCCGACGAAAUUUUUGAAUUUUAAUAAAUAAUUAAAUUUAUUCCGAAAAUAAUUAAAUAAUCAUAUUUUAAUCAUUUCGAAUAAUGAUAUAUUAUUAAAUUAUUAAAUAAUUUCGAAAUGUUUAAAUAAAUCAAAAGUAAAUUCAUUUAUGUCACAUCAAGGCUUAUAUUAAUAUAAACCUUCAUUUAGCCUUAAAUUAAACUCACUUUAAGCUAAUUAAACACAUUAAUAUAAUCCACACUUAAAUAAAUUAAACUAACCACCUAAUCACAAUUAACAUAAACUAAGCACACCUAAAGCAUAAUUAACCCUCUAAGCGAGAUUUAGUGAGUUAAACUCACCGGAUUAGCGAGCCGAGCGGACCAAAACGACGGGGACGCCGAGGAGAACAACUUUCCUCAAAGCGGGCUGAGCAUCCGAGCUCGGGAAGGCAGCCAAAACGGGCCAAACGUCCGCUGCAUACCCAUUUUUUUUCCAGCUGCUGUCCAUUGCGAUUUGAGGCCGAGGAAGGGUAGAUCCGGAGCUUGGAUGAGAUGGGGAAGGAUCGGGGAAGGUUGAGGGGUCGAACCGGCCCAAGGAGGGACCCGAACGGUGGCCGGAGGUGGCCGAACGGCUCCGGCACGG
rnacentral:lncRNA from 1 species